GCAGUGGUGGUCCAGUGGUAGAAUCCUUGGCUUCCAUGUGGGAGACCCAGGUUCGAUUCCUGGUCAAUGCA
rnacentral:tRNA from 1 species